CCUACGGGUGGCAGCAGUGAGGAAUAUUGGUCAAUGGGCGCGAGCCUGAACCAGCCAAGUCGCGUGAAGGAUGACUGCCCUACGGGUUGUAAACUUCUUUUAUACGGGAAUAAACUGAGGCACGUGUGCCUUUUUGUAUGUACUUUAUGAAUAAGGAUCGGCUAACUCCGUGCCAGCAGCCGCGGUAAUACGGAGGAUCCGAGCGUUAUCCGGGUUUAUUGGGUUUAAAGGGAGCGUAGGUGGGUUGUUAAGUCAGUUGUGAAAGUUUGCGGCUCAACCGUAAAAUUGCCAUUGAUACUGGCAGUCUUGAGUACAGGUGAGGUAGGCGGAAUGCGUGGUGUAGCGGUGAAAUGCUUAGAUAUCACGAAGAACGCCGAUUGCGAAGGCAGCUUACCAAACUGCCACUGACAUUGAGGGUCGAAAGUGUGGGUAUCAAACAGGAUUAGAUACCCGGGUAGUC
rnacentral:rRNA from 1 species